ensembl:lncRNA LINC02240 long intergenic non-protein coding RNA 2240
UGGUUAGGGAUAUUUAUACGUUGGGUAUUAGUAGGAUGGAAGUGAUGAAGGGAGAGAGGCCAAUUAGGCCAUGAUUGCUCUGAGGAUGGGAAGUACGUGAAUGUGGAAUCUUGGGGCAAUAGAACGGACAGAACGUAGUGUAGCAAAGCUUCUCUCCAUAACGUUCCUCUGGCCAAGUGAGAAACAUGAAGAUUAGAAGUGCAGCACAUGCCUUCUGAAGAAGCCAGGCAUGGAACAGUUCUGGGAACACAGCACUGAUAAAACUCUUAGGGAUGAAUUUACCUAUACCUGUGUUUCAGCCUUGUGAUCUGAUGGAAGCUGAGGAAUGAUGAAGACAAUGGAAUCAAAGGCAAUUGAUCCCGCCACAUUUGAAGAACCACAAAAGGAGGCUGAGUGAGCUGAAAGAAAUACACAAGUGGAUCAGCAACAUGACAGCUGCUGCAGUGAAAUCUGGAUUGUAAUAUGUCAGUUUCCAACCCAUCACAUACAAUCCAGACAGAGACAUAGCUUUUUGUCUGCCUCGUUGUGAUUUCCCUGUCUGGUGCGGUUUGGGUCACAUCUGUUGGCUGCAUUCUCAUCUUCAUGAGAUCUGCAUUGACUGAUAGUUUAAACCCCAUGUUUAUCUAUGUCUGCGGCUCUUAUUUCUCUCACAGGGAAGUCUCCAGAGAAGCCCAGUAUCCCCUGAUGUGAGAAUCUUGCUUGGUUUUAUUAAUCAACAGCCAGUGCCCACAUUCAGGCAGUUCUGUAUGUUUCAUGCUAGGAUAUUGGGUGUGUUUGUUACAUAUGUCUUUCAACAUUUAUUAUAUCAGAAAAAAUUUGAUAAAAACAUAAACCUACUUCCUGAAUAUAUCACACUGAUUUAAAACAGAACUUCUCACGAUGAACAACCCAAGCUCACUGUUUCUUUGACUUUUGCAUAUUUUCUACUCGUGCAUUAUUCUGUCAUUUCAUGAUAAAAUGAUUGAAAAACACUGCUUUAACCCUCCAAACUUGGCUAGUGGCUAUAUAAGGAUUUAAACUUCAGCAUGCCUGUCUAUGCUCAAGCCUUGGAAAUCCUUUUGCAUUUCAACCAUUGCUAAUGUUUCAUAUCUGCACAUUGAAUCUAACCCUUGAUUUCUUUUGUAGACAUAUGUAAUCUGAAGGCAUGCAACAUUUUGCAAAUGUUGGCCCAUAUUUUUAUUUCAUAAGGUCUUAUUUGGUCUGUCGACCAAGUUUUGAUUACUUCCAUAUUGCUCUUAAUUGCCUUAAUAUCCCCAAAGACUUUCCUAUUCUGUGCAUCCCUUUAUCUUUGCUUCUUUUAUCUCUUGCUGUGAGAGUACAAAAUUGCUGACAUAUUCAAUGUAUUUAAAUUCUGAGUGUUGCAGAAGAGUUUUCAAAUCUGUUUUAAUUUUCUGAUACUCAGCUGAGGACCAUUACACAUUCUGUUCAGCUAAUCUGUUUUUAAUCAUAUCUGUAAAUGCUAAAGUUGUACAUGAGAGAAAUGAUGCAUAAAGUAAAACCAGACCAAGUGUACUUUCGCAUAUGUAAAACUAAAUUCUUACUUUCUUCCACUUACAA